UUGAUGGUUUUUCACAGAGUGAAUUUAUUUUAUCUUUAAACUUUUUUUUACAGAAAAAGAAAGAAGGCUCUCAUGGUUCUCUUCAUGAUAGCUCAUCCUGUGUCCUCCGGGGAGGACUUUUUAUCUUACUUUUUCUCUUCUUUUGGGCCCAAGAUCACUCUGCAGAGCCAGUUUCUUCCUCAAUCGUCAUUUUUACUUUUCAAAUAAACUUUGUCCUUUUCUGUUCAUUUCAUUCAAUUCUUUGUUCAAGGUGAGAAGAAUGUGGAAUCCAACUCCAGCAGGAGAGGCAAGCAACCCAAAGCCCAAACUGAAAAGCAUUUGGUGAGAAGCCUUAGAUCAGAUGGAGAACAUCUGGCCCACCUGCUGUGAGAAAGUACACAACACCUGCAUGAGAAGAAGCCGGCUGUUUUGGGAUGACCCAUCAACACCUAUACAAACCAUGCCUAAAUCAGCUUCCCAGCAAGAUAGACUUUGCUUGUUUGUUUUGUUUUUGACACAGGGUCUUGCUAUGUAGUUCAGGCUAGCCUUGAACUCACUAUGUAGCUCAGGCUGGCCUAAAACUAGGAGCAAUCCUCCUGACUCAGCCUCCCGAGUGCUGGGAUGACAGGCAUGCACCACCACGCCACCUGUAAGAUGGACUUUGGACAUGAGUCCUCCAUCUUGUUGAGCAGCUGGCUUUUUGAAUAAAGUCAUUUUCCAAGAGAAGAGAAGAGAAGAGAAGAGAAGCAAAGCAUGUUGGUGCACACACCUGUAAUCCAGGACUCAGGAGGCUGAUAGGAGAAUCACCAUGAGCUCGAGGCCAGCUUGGGCUACACAAUGAGUAAGCCAGCCUGAACUACAUAGUGAGACCCUGUCUCAAAAAAAAGAAAGUUCAAAGAAAAGAGAAAGGUGUUAAGACUCAACAGCACCAUUUUCCACACCCCAGCACCACGGGCUGCAACAUGAUGUUCCUGUAGUGCAGGAGGAGCCACACUGAGGAGCUCUGCUGACUGCACCUCUGCUGCCACCGGGUUUCCCUCGGCUCCAGGAAGAGCAUGGAGCACAAUCACAGGGUGAGAGCUGGCAUUGUUACAAUACUGGCUUCCACUCCAUACCCAGUUCAAGAAACCCAGGGGCCAAAUUAAAACAUAAUCAUUCUGAGUAACAUUUAUACUGCAGCCACUAUGAGCAUGGAGUGCACUGUGCACCCUCCAGAAAAAAAAAAAAUUAUUUUUCAUCACAAAGUUCCUUGUAUUAGCAACAAAGAUUCUGCAAAACAAUAGUGGUGCCCCCCCUUCUUCUUUUGUUUUUAGCUAUGUAAUCCAGGCUGGCCUUGAACUCACUAUGUACCCCAGGCUGGCUUUGAACUUGCUGAAAUCCCCCUGCCUCAGCCUCCCAAGUGCUAGGAUCAUAGGCAUGAGCCACCAUGUCUGGCUUACCCCUCUCUUCUUUUUUUUUUGGUACCAGGGAUCUAACCUGGGACCUUGUGCUUGGGAGGCAGGCGGUGGAACCACUGAGCUAAAUCCCCAUCCCUCCCCCUCUCUUCUUAAUGCAAUUGAGGGCGAAGUCAGUGCCUGAGAAGCUGGCUGGAGCAACUUUAAAGUACAAUGAACUAUUUCAGUGUAGAAUGAAUUGCAAAGUGGUAACAUUAAGCAAGAUAUAGUUAAAAAUACAGUAGCAAAUAUUUACCCCAUUACUAUUUGGUAAAAAGAUCUUGAAUCGUUUUUUCUUGUUUUUUUGGUGAAGGGAUGAAACCCUGGGCUCCAUACACUCAGAAGCAGGACCCUGAAUCUGCAAAACUUAUUUUUGGUGGACCAAAAGGUACCUGCUUCCUACCAUUGUUGAUUUUUCAUAAAAGUUCAACAUCAAAAGAACCUGUUGCUCCCUGCAUUUUCUUUAGGGCUACACUGCCCUCAAGGUUUGUCUACACAUGGGCCGGGAAUUUAGCUCAGUGGUGCCACCACCUGCCCUGCAAGCACAAGGACCCGAGUUCCAUCCCUGGUACCAAACAAACAAACAAACAAAAAGAUUUGUCUACACACUUUCAGAAGGAAAAUUUAAAAGAUGAAAAUUUUUUUCCAAUCCUACCGAUAUCUACCAACAUACAACAUCCUAGCAGAUACAAGGAUAUACAUGCAUUCAUGGCAUUAACCACCAGAGUGAGGGUGUCACCAUGUCACAGAGCCUCUAGGGAUGACACUGUACACCUGUGAGAGAACAAGUAAAAAGGCAAUAACUUGGGAAAAGUUACUAUGAAACACCUGCUUAUGUGCAUAGGAAAUAGUCGCCUCUGGAUUCUAAAUAACAGAAUUUCUAGUGCUAUUAAGAAUUUAGUAUUUGUGGGCUGGGGAUUUAGCUCAGUGGUUUCGCCGCCUGCUGCGCAAGCGCAAGGACCUGAGUUUGAUCCCCAGUACCAAAAAAAAAGAAACAAAAGAAUUUAGUAUUUGAUAUAUAAUGUUGAUUUUCCAAAAACAAAAUGUCCUGCAAACCUAAGUCAUAAAUCUCUGAGACGCCGAAGAAGAUAUCUUUACCCCGGCCCCAGCUGCCCACUGGCCCGUGAGAUGACACGGAAGACAGGCAGCGCUGUAUAACAUGGAGCACUGAAUGCCAGGUCGGGUCAGGACUCGGGCAUCCCAGAAUGCACUUGGUCCCAGAUGCUGUCAAACCAGCUGAGGUGAGGUGACGUCACAAAUGAACAACAUGGUACCGUGAAAUCUCAAAUUACAACAGGAUUCCACCAAGAGAAAGUAGAGGUCUCUGGAGAGAAACUGACCCUGAAAACACCAACACAUAAAUCCCACAUGAGUGGUGCAGAGAUGGUGGUGACACUGUGUGCCACACACAGACUAAACUAUGUGACACUACUAGCAGUAAGCACGGCUGCUGUGGAAAUGCAUUUAUUCACAAGUGAUUUGUGCGGCCUCACUGAACGCUGGACACAUCCUUGCAACUCAGCAACCUUCACACAGGUUCGGGGAAGAAGUCAAGAACACAUAGGAAGAAUCAAGGUAAGAAUAAGGCAUGGAGGAAAGAGAAGGGAGAGGAUGUGGAUGAAGAGGAGCAGGAGGCAGGAGGAGGCGCUGGAGCUGGACUGAGGGCUGCGGGGCUUACAUUCUUCCAGAACUCUCUGUAUGGUCCUGUGCAUGUCAUUGUUUCUUUACAGCCA
rnacentral:lncRNA from 1 species